UCCACACACACACGCACACCCAAAUAUAUGUUUGUAAUAGCUCGAACGUCGCCAUGCCGGCAGUCGACAGCUGUUUCGGCCUUAUUGGGCCAUCGUCAGCAGUACGCAGGCAGGCAGCGUUUGAACGUGUGGCAUCAGAACGUCACGUGACACCUUAUUCCUCCCGCCAGCCGAUGUUACGCCACUGAAUAAAGACGCCAAUAUACUCCGACGUUCUCUGCGCGCCGGCAGAAGUCCACUACGCCAAGUUAGCUGAACGACGCCAGGCCAGGAACACGACACGCUACACUCCCACGCGAAGCAUCAUGAAACGGUACGCCCGCGCAUGCGUCGUGUAUGGAUCAACAUACGCGGCAGCUGUGGGCGAGGCGACGAAGUUGUCAGACGCGCGCCAUAUCCAAACGUUGGUUUUGUGCGGGAUGGCAUGCGAUGGAGUCGGCAUUAUUUUUCCGAAUUUGACAGGCGACAGAGCAGCCUGGACCACCCAUCCUCUACGGCAAAAUCUCCUGCGAGCGUUGCUGAUUCAUCGUCUGCGGCGCAAGCGGAAGCGUACGAUGUACAUCCGGGAUUUAUUUGACAAACGCACUGUUGUCAGGAAUUAAAACCACCACCCCGUGCAGGAACAACGAAAUGACGACCCUGAGUACCAUUUCAAAUAUUUCAGAAUGACUAAAGCAUCAUUUGACCAUUUGCUUGGUGUUGUACGCGACCGGAUUCUCCAUGCACCUACACAUAGGAGGCCCGUCCUCCCUGCAGAGAGGCUUGCAGUAGCACUGAGGUUUUUGUCGACCGGAGCGUCAAUGCAGGACAUUGCUAUGAGCUACCGAAUGCACCGAUCAACUGUCUCUAUGAUCCUGAAGGAGACCUUGCCUGCAAUAUGGGACUGCUUAUCACCAGUCGUACUGAAGGUUGUGGAAACCCGCGUUUCCACAACCUCGGGGCGUCAGCCCGUCCGUUCCGUGCGCGAGGAAGCAAGCAGCACAACCAGAAAUUCAAACCAACAUACCAUACCGGCUUUAUUCGCUAGCAACAGCUUCAAUUCCCAGCGGGGAACAACAGAGCCUCCGAAGAGGCAUGUGGCCUCUUAUGUAGCUUAACGCCACGCCCUCCCAGUGAUUGCGGCCCCCUGGCGGCUUUCGUGGUGGCUCACCCGAUAAGAUAGGGGAGCGUGGCACGCCACAUGGUACCCACGAGAGCUGCGUGGGAAGACAUACGAAAUGGCUUUGACACAAAGCGGAACUUCCCAAAUGCCAUCGGAAGCAUAGACGGCAAACAUUUUGCCAUAAGAUGGCCCGACAAAAGCGGCUCAGACUAUUAUAACUAUAAGGGAUUCCACUCAGUGGUCCUGCUCGCUGUUGCAGAUGCAGACUACAGGUUUAUUCUGGUGGAUAUCGGGCCACAAGGCCGCCUCUCAGAUGGUUCUGUGUUCAGAGACAGUGCAAUAGGGAAAAGCUUUGAGCAAAGCACUCUUGACCUGCCAGCGAACAUGUCCAGGUGGCCUUUGUGCCUGGUUGGAGACGCUGCAUUUCCCCUGCGCCCAUACCUGAUGCGUCCUUACCCUGAAAGGAACCUGACAGAGAAGAAGAAAGUGUUCAAUUACCGUCGAUCAAGAGCUCGACGUUGCGUGGAAAACGCAUUUGGGAUUCUUGCAUCCAGGUGGCGUUCAUUUCUUGGAACUGUUGAAGGUGAUCCGGACUUGCUGACAAGCAUGAUCAAGGCAGCAGUGUGCCUUCACAAUUUCCUUAUGUCAGAUAGUGUGUACUGUCCAAGCGACUAUGGUGACACAGUGUGCGGUGAGGCACUGCAAGAAGGGUCCUGGAGACAAGUUAUAACAGAAACUGUCAGUCACAACCGAUCAACGUGUAACCGCUCUGCACCAGCAGCCAUGGCGUUGAGGGAUAACAUCGCUAACUAUUUCGUGUCUACAGAGGGCUCCCUGCCAUGGCAGCUCAAGUUUGUAAGGCGAAGCUGAAACAAAAGUGAACUUUGUGAAGUGUAACGAACUGAAAACUGACUUACACAUGUAUUUUGAGCUCUGCACUCUAUUAAACUACAAUUAAAGAGUUCUCACACAAGCAAGUGUUAUAUUUGCUCGUAUACAAAUCUAACAAUACAUAAUAACCAUUAAUGAUGGGAGUGAAGUGAGACAGCAAAAUGGCAAACUGGAUAAUGACGUACAUGUCCUCUUUCUGUGUAUCGAGGUGCUGACAAAACAACAAAGCACAUAAUCACAGCUCAUUCGUCGUAUUCAGCAAUGAGCGCCGUAAUCUUUGCCUUGCACUGAGAGGCUUGACUUGUUGUUAGCCUGUCGAGUGACAUCCCAACAGAGAGUCCAAAUGCUUCAUUCUCAGAAAUUUUUUGUCUAGGCGGCACAGCACACUGUAAAAAAUUGCUGUAAAUUUUACGGUCAAAAUCUAUUUUUUGCCGUACAGGUAUGCUACCGUAAUUGGAAAUACGGUCCAAGUAGUGUAAUUAAUACGGCACUUCUCGUGUUUUUGUCUCUGUAUUUUUUCGUUCAUUCUCGUGUUUUAGAUCGUUUACACCACGGGUGUUCUCGAACUAGCGUAGAACUAAGAGAUUCGCCGGCUUCCGGGCGCAAUGAGUACUACUCAUUGCACCCGAAAGCCGGCGAAUCUCUAAGUUGAAAUGUCCAACUACUCCACAACAGAAAUGUUGAGAGAUUUGCGUGCUUUCUGGGGCCACGACUGCUCAAAUUGAGUGACUGUCCAGGCACACUCUAAUUACAUGUUGCAAUUGAAUGCAUAUUUACUUGUGGCUUUUCAACUUUCCAGAAACCUUGAACUGCUUGGGCUUAAAGGAAAAUGUCGCUCCAUCGUGUGCUAUUAAGAACAUCUCACAUACUUCGUUGAAUGAUUCCAGAUGACCACGAGGUAGUCAAGCAAGGGACCCAUCAGCCAUGACAUAUUAUCUAUUCUAUGUAACUCUGUAGUUCCUCUACUGCUAUAGUUUAAUUACAUUAUAGUUACGCUACAUGUACAUUAGAAUAUGUGCAAUGUUUGAUUACAAAUAAAAUGUAAUUUUGCAUUGCAGUUCUUUGGAUCUGCCGUUGCUGGGAACAGCGAUCCUGCAAAGUGGCACUGGUUGCCUACCAGCUAGCCUCUGUCCGAGCAGGCCACUUCACCGUUACUUGAAGCUGCUGCCGGCUAAAAGAAACUGAGCAAGCUCCGUGCACAUAUGCCCACUGAUGUAGCCUGGAGAGAUGGUCACUUCUGGGCACACCAUCCUUCCUGGGCAAGUCGUGUGGAAAGGCAUCCAAGACACGCUUGGCCUUGGAUCACUUUCUGCAAGAAGACUCAGGAGGGGGCAUCUCUUUUGCAUGGUUUCUCGUGACACUGAGAGUAUACUGUGCAUCAGCCCUGCAGGGGCAGCAAGCUGAAGAACAGACCCAGAACCUAUGAAGAAGUUCUGGGGAUUGUUUCGAAAACAGCACAAGUGUAAGGGAA